UUCUAGGAAUGUUUUAAGUUUUAUUUUUAAUGCUAACGGAAUUUUCUCUCGGCCUCUAAAAUGGGAGGCUCUCUUAAGUCCUGCAGCGCACCACUCCAUCCAGAACGAAUUACUAAAGGAGCUUCUGUUUCAGUCAUGGAUGAAACAGUACAACAAGAAAUAUAAUUCCUCAGAGUAUCGUCGCAGACUACACAAUUUUCUU